AGACCCAUCUCUCCCCCCAGGUUAUCAGUGGCCAGCCAGUGUGUACGGUGAGACGCCUCCUGAAUGUUGAAUGAGAGGGUUAAGGCCCGGAGGAGCUGUGCUGGGUCCCCAGCUAAAGACAUCUUGGACCCGGCCCUCAUUGCAGAUUUCCACCGCCGAUACACCAGUCAGCCCAGUUAUGCACCCAGUAGAAGCCUCAAACAUGGUUCUGAAGACUAUUGACAUCCAGUGGAAGCCACAGGAAGUGCAUUAGGACCCCAUAGACACUAUAUAUUCGACAGGCAAUGACUUGAAAAACUAUAAACCUCAGAUGUCCCACUUCCUGGUUGGA
ensembl:lncRNA